GUGCCAGCCGCCGCGGUAAUACAGAGGCCUCGAGCGUUGCGCGGAAUCACUGGGCUUAAAGGGUGCGUAGGUGGAUGUGCAAGUGCCUUGUGAAAUCCCCGGGCUCAACCCGGGAACUGCUUGGUAGACUGCACGUCUUGAGGUCGGUAGGGGUCGCUGGAACAGUUGGUGGAGCGGUGAAAUGCGUAGAUAUCAACUGGAACGCCAAAGGCGAAGGCAAGCGACUGGGCCGAUUCUGACACUGAGGCACGAAAGCGUGGGGAGCAAACGGGAUUAGAUACCCGCGUAGUCC
rnacentral:rRNA from 1 species